CGUACACUCCUGCGGGAGGCAGCAGUGGGGAAUAUUGGACAAUGGGCGCAAGCCUGAUCCAGCCGUGCCGCGUGAGUGAUGAAGGCCCUAGGGUUGUAAAGCUCUUUCACCGGUGAAGAUAAUGACGGUAACCGGAGAAGAAGCCCCGGCUAACUUCGUGCCAGCAGCCGCGGUAAUACGAAGGGGGCUAGCGUUGUUCGGAUUUACUGGGCGUAAAGCGCACGUAGGCGGACUAUUAAGUCAGGGGUGAAAUCCCGGGGCUCAACCCCGGAACUGCCUUUGAUACUGGUAGUCUUGAGUUCGAGAGAGGUGAGUGGAAUUCCGAGUGUAGAGGUGAAAUUCGUAGAUAUUCGGAGGAACACCAGUGGCGAAGGCGGCUCACUGGCUCGAUACUGACGCUGAGGUGCGAAAGCGUGGGGAGCAAACAGGAUUAGAUACCCCGGUAGUCCC
rnacentral:rRNA from 1 species